rnacentral:rRNA from 1 species
UUAUAUAGAUUGAACGAAGAGUUUGAUCCUGGCUCAGGAUGAACGCUGACAGAAUGCUUAACACAUGCAAGUCUACUUGAUCCUUCGGGUGAUGGUGGCGGACGGGUGAGUAACGCGUAAAG